rnacentral:rRNA from 1 species
UGGCCCAUACAGGGGGAUAACACUUAGAAAUAGGUGCUAAUACCGCAUAACAACAGAAAGCGCAUGCUUUUUGUUUGAAAACCAAGGUGGUAUGGGAUGGACCCGCGUCUGAUUAGCUGGUUGGCGGGGUAAAGGCCCACCAAGGCGACGAUCAGUAGCCGGCCUGAGAGGGUGGACGGCCACAUUGGGACUGAGACACGGCCCAAACUCCUACGGGAGGCAGCAGUGGGGGAUAUUGCACAAUGGGGGAAACCCUGAUGCAGCGACGCCGCGUGAGUGAAGAAGUAUUUCGGUAUGUAAAGCUCUAUCAGCAGGGAAGAAGAUGACAGUACCUGAGUAAGAAGCCCCGGCUAACUACGUGCCAGCAGCCGCGGUAAUACGAAGGGGGCAAGCGUUGUUCGGAUUUACUGGGUGUAAAGGGAGCGUAGACGGCAGUGCAAGUCUGGAGUGAAAGGCGGGGGCUCAACCCCCGGACUGCUCUGGAAACUGUACGGCUGGAGUGCAGGAGAGGUAAGUGGAAUUCCUAGUGUAGCGGUGAAAUGCGUAGAUAUUAGGAGGAACACCAGUGGCGAAGGCGGCUUACUGGACUGUAACUGACGUUGAGGCUCGAAAGCGUGGGGAGCAAACAGGAUUAGAUACCCUGGUAGUCCACGCCGUAAACGAUGAUCACUAGGUGU